AGUGAACGCUGGCGGUAGGCCUAACACAUGCAAGUCGAACGGCAGCACAGGAGAGCUUGCUCUCUGGGUGGCGAGUGGCGGACGGGUGAGGAAUACAUCGGAAUCUACUUUUUCGUGGGGGAUAACGUAGGGAAACUUACGCUAAUACCGCAUACGACCUACGGGUGAAAGCAGGGGACCUUCGGGCCUUGCGCGAUUGAAUGAGCCGAUGUCGGAUUAGCUAGUUGGCGGGGUAAAGGCCCACCAAGGCGACGAUCCGUAGCUGGUCUGCGAGGAGGAUCAGCCACACUGGUACUGAGACACGGUCCAGACGCCUACGGGAGGCAGCAGUGGGGAAUAUUGGACAAUGGGCGCAAGCCUGAUCCAGCCAUACCGCGUGGGUGAAGAAGGCCUUCGGGUUGUAAAGCACUUUUGUUGGGAAAGAAAUCCAGCUGGUUAAUACCCGGCUGGGAUGACGGUACCCAAAGAAUAAGCACCGGCUAACUUCGUGCCAGCCGCCGCCGUAA
rnacentral:rRNA from 1 species